rnacentral:rRNA from 1 species
AGAGUUUGAUCAUGGCUCAGGACGAACGCUGGCGGCGUGCUUAACACAUGCAAGUCGUGGGCGGUCGCAAGACCGACCGGCAAACGGGUGCGUAACACGUGAGCGACCUACCGAUUUGUGGGGGAUAGCCGCCUAACGGCCGAGUAAUACCGCAUAUACCGCGCGAGCUGCAUGGCUUGUGCGGGAAACCUCCGGGGCAA